rnacentral:lncRNA from 1 species
ACUCUCUGUACUCUAUCAGCCUCCCAAGUCACAUGCUGCUAGGGCAGAUACACAAACAUCUGUGAAAGAGGAGAUGACUGGACUCUCAGGUUUAAGGAUACACACACAGAGUCUUUCUCUACAACAACAGGCAAUCCUAGUGCCUCAGCCUCCCAAGUGCUUCCAGUACUGGUGUGAGCCACCACACCAGACUUGAUCAACAUUGGGUUUGCGUGUGAAGUGUCAAGCUUACAAUACAAUCUCCAACUCCUAUUCGGUCUAUGCCAUAAAACAAGCUUCAGUGGCCGCUCUCCAGGCUCACAGCAGCAUGGGAUGAGAGAAUCCAAAUCGAGAAGCACUGACACCAGGAGAUAACAACAGCCUCAUUACAAGGAAGAAACGCAAAACCUAAAGGAAGCAACCCCAAGCUGGGCAUGCUCACACUGUACCUGGGAAGCUUGCGAACCCAGGGCCAGCCCGGGCUAUGUAACAAACCCUGUCUCAAAAUGACAAUAAAGCAAUCCUCUAG